AUGGACCAAUCCAUCCCUUUUUCCCGUGCAUAUGCAUCGGACUCGGAUGACGAUGGUACUGAUGAAGAAGUUGAUGAGGAGGGGUUCACACCGAAGGAGGCCGAAGCAUUCAAGAAGGUAUUCGAGCGGGAUCACAAGACACCAUUGUUCAAGGAUCUUAGUCUCGCGGAUGAAGCCGUUGUGGAUGGUGGAAAAUGCAUAUCUCUUGGAGCUAGGCCAAGUUCUCAC
rnacentral:rRNA from 1 species